rnacentral:misc_RNA from 1 species
AAGGAGCAUCUAGCUGCCGCGAGGCAGCCAGAGCCACUACGCCGGCGAAUGUCUGGCGGUGGUCAGCUCAUGGGUGGAACGUUGAUUAUUCGGCACGGUCGGGAUGGAUGAGAGUGCUAGUACUGCUUCGGCGUGGAACGCGAAGCUCAUCAACUGACUGGGUCGGGCACGCUGUUGGGUGUCUGAGGGUGCGAGCGUUGCUCGCCCUUCACGAUGCCGGCCCCGGUGCAGCGCCGCGUGAUGUGGUGUGUGACGGGUGGUUGGUCGUUG